rnacentral:rRNA from 1 species
UACGGGGGGGGGCAAGCGUUGUUCGGAAUUACUGGGCGUAAAGGCUCGUAGGCGGCCAACUAAGUCGGAUGUGAAAUCCCCAGGCUUAACCUGGGAACUGCAUCCGAUACUGGAUGGCUUGAAUCCGGGAGAGGGAUGCAGAAUUCCAGGUGUAGCGGUGAAAUGCGUAGAUAUCAAGAGGAACACCUGCGGCGAAGGCGGGUUGCUGGGCCGACACUGACGCUGAGGCGCGAAAGCGUGGGGGGAGCAAACAGG